AGCUGAAACCAGCACUUGGGAUAAUGGCACCCAGUGCCUGGAAAUCCCGACACCCAAAGAACAGACUCAGGAAACCCACUGUAGAGAAACUAUUGUGAUCAGAAUAAGAGCAGCAUCAAACAGCUGAAAUUGCUCCUGGGGAAGGAGUUCCAGAGAUACCAGCCAUGCCAACAACCUGGAGAUGACUGUCAGCUACAGAAAUACAGCCGAGCUUUUGCAGUAUCUGCCAAAAGCCUUCAGCAAGAUAUUUGUGAAGUGGAUGCCUGGUACCUGAGGAGGAGCUCUGAAUCUCCAUUCAGCAAACACCAGAACCCCACUGAAGCUGAUCUACUAUUUCCAGAGGUCACAAAUGGUGCCUAAGGACUCUGGUGCUGCUUCUGCACCUGCCUCAACCCACUAGCCACCUGCAAACCAAGCAGUGCUGAAACCCUCCUGCAGCCUCAGGAGGCCUUCGUAGACCAAGACUACCUUUAUGUGCUUCCUGGACACUUGCUCAUAUGCCAGAGGAGAUCAUGACUUGCUGUACAAGUCCCACUCCUCUCAUGAGUAGGAAGAAUGUUUUCCUUUAGCAGAGCGUUACUAUGCUCGGAUGUCUGCUUCCCUUCUUCCAGGAGGACAGAAAUGAUCCCACCACGUGGACAGAAAGUUAUUCUAAAAGAAUGUGAGCUGUAAUCCUCCUGCAAGGAUGACGGAGGAGUUGUUCAGAGAGGAACACCGACUAUUCUUAACCUCAGUGAGGUUGUACGUGUAGAUCUGUUGAGAACGCAGUAACUUCUAAGAUGUUCAGGCUAGCUUUUUCAAAAGUGUCCGUUCAGGAGGAGCCUCUUCCUCCGACCUGCUUCACUUGAGACUCCCACAUUCCAGGCUACUGCACUGCCUGGCUGUGGGACUCAAGGUGGCUCAAGCAGAGCAACAGCUCUAACUGGACACCUUUGAAAACCCAGCUUCCCUAUAGGGGCUAUAAUGGGCUCUACAAUAUUUGUAGACUGUACUGAGCAUGCUCUGGAAAUGGUUAAACCAUAACUCAAACUAUGUAGAGGAAAUUCCUCAGGAUGUCUUGCUCACAGAGUCAGAGUAUUGCUUGUGAGAUGCAGGAUAUGUGUGCCUUUUAUAAAGGCAAAAGCUCAGUUUUAUAUCCUUGUAGGAAAGAAGGUUACGGCUGUGUUGUCGAGUUUACAAGAUAUAUUUAUCAAAGUCUUUCAUGAAAGGCAGGCGUAUAAAUUGUAUUUACUCUGUGGUACCCUACCCCCAGGGGAGAAUGUGAAUCAUUACUAUCCUUGGAGGAUGCUGUGACAUGUGUGAGCUGCACCAAGUGUAUAUAAACUGUGCCAGGAAUUACCUUGGAUUUCAGAAGCUGUAGAAACUUUUAUCAGCACAAAAUUAAAUAAAAAUCUAAUAACAAAUCCA